GUAUUUGCUCCUCGAGGAAUUAGUAAGUAAAAAUAGUAAGAGUCAUGGAUUUAAAUUUUGUGAACAUGUUGUUGGUGCUGCCUAUAGAAUUAGAAUGAAAAAUUAAGAUAAAUGGAUGGAGUUUCUGAAUAAGAAUGAGGGUAGGAGUUUGCUUCCUUGUACACACCAUGAUAAGUUCUAAUACUAGAAAAUUUGCAACUGAUUUUGCAUGUUCCAACUUAAUUCCUUUUAUUUUUCAAUUUCUCUGAAGCAUUUCUCAAAACCUUUCGUACGUCCUCCUAGAGCUUUUAAGAUCUAGAGCCUGUUUGGUUGAGCAUUUUUGAGCUAGCUUGGUGUUUGGGCUUCCAUCUGUU
rnacentral:misc_RNA from 1 species